GACGAGGGGUCCUAGCGUUGUUCGGAAUCACUGGGCGUAAAGCGUAUGUAGGCGGCUUUCUAAGUCGGUUGUGAAAUCCCAUGGCUUAACCAUGGAAUUGCAUUCGAAACUGGAGAGCUUGAGGUGUGGGAGAGAUUGGUAGAAUACCUGGUGUAGUGGUGAAAUACGUAGAUAUCAGGUGGAAUACCGGUGGCGAAGGCGGCCAAUUGGCCCAACACGUGGCACUGAGAG
rnacentral:rRNA from 1 species